rnacentral:rRNA from 1 species
GGCCAGCAGCCGCGGUAAUACGUAGGGGGCGAGCGUUGUCCGGAAUCAUUGGGCGUAAAGCGCGUGUAGGCGGCCGAACAAGUCCGAUGUGAAAGCUCGGGGCUCAACCCCGAGUCUGCAUUGGAAACUGUGCGGCUAGAGUCCGGAAGAGGAGACUGGAAUUCCUGGUGUAGCGGUGAAAUGCGCAGAUAUCAGGAAGAACACCGGUGGCGAAGGCGGGUCUCUGGGACGGUACUGACGCUGAGACGCGAAAGCGUGGGGAGCAAACAGGAUUAGAUACCCUGGUAGUCCACGCCGUAAACGAUGGGCACUAGGUGUGGGAGGUGUCGACUCCUUCCGUGCCGUAGCUAACGCAUUAAGUGCCCCGCCUGGGGAGUACGGCCGCAAGGCUAAAACUUAAAGGAAUUGGCGGGGGA